UACGUAGGUGGCAAGCGUUAUCCGGAAUUACUGGGCGUAAAGGGCGUGUAGGCGGGAAGACAAGUCGGGAGUGAAAUCCCAGGGCUUAACCCUGGAGCUGCUUCCGAAACUGUCUUUCUUGAGUGUCGGAGAGGAAAGUGGAAUUCCCAGUGUAGCGGUGAAAUGCGUAGAGACUGGGAGGAACACCAGUGGCGAAGGCGACUUUCUGGACGAUAACUGACGCUGAGGCGCGAAAGCGUGGGGAGCAAACAGG
rnacentral:rRNA from 1 species